CAUGUAGUCACCAUGUAGUCACCAUGCUGUAUCAGACAGGAGACCAUGUAGUCACCAUGUAGUCAGUAAUUUAUGACAUUUUCUUUAAAGGUUAAGGCUAUAUGUCAUCACUGAGAGGGGUGGCUUCACUUUUGUUCUCCAAACAACCAGUGUAAAUAUCAGAUUGUAUAGUUGGCUAUAUAGAAAUUAAAAAAGGGACUUGCCCAGACUGCAAAUGAAACAUGAAAUCACCCAAAUUGUGUGUGCAUAACUUGGCCCAGCCAGUCAUUUUCUCAUUCGGGACAGUAGUUUUCCACUUGGUACUGGCAAGGUGUGCCACUGACAAAUGUACCUGAAUGUCAAGCCCUGAACGGUUAGUGGUUUAUGAUUCUAACACUUUAUAGGGGCAAUACACAUGCGUCUGUACAGAAACACGCCCCCUACAGACUAACAUAUAUAAAACAACCUUAUUGCACAUAUAAUAGAAAGAUGAUCUCCUAUGAAGUAGAGGAUAACUAAGUACUGAACAGGAACAAGUAGUAAAGGUGGUAGCCAUGACGACAACAACAUGGACUAAAGUAGUAACGUGGCAGUCAUGACGACAACUAUAUGGACAAAAGUAGUCACGUGGCAGUCAUGACGACAACAACAUGGACUAAAGCAGUAACGUGGUAGUCAUGAUGGCAACUAUAUGGACUAAAGUAGUAAAGGUGGUAGUCAUGACAACAACAUGGACUAAAGCAGUAAUGUGGUAACCAUGACGACAACAACAUGGACUAAAGCAGUAACGUGGUAACCAUGACGACGACAACAACAUGGACUAAAGCAGUAACGUGGUAGCCAUGACGACAACAACAUGGACUAAAGUAGUAACGUG
ensembl:lncRNA